rnacentral:rRNA from 1 species
CCUACGGGUGGCAGCAGUGAGGAAUAUUGGUCAAUGGGCGCGAGCCUGAACCAGCCAAGUCGCGUGAAGGAUGACGGAUCUAGGGGUUGUAACCUCCUUUUUUAAAGGAGUACAGUGAGGCAAGUGUGCCUCUUUGAAUGUACUUUAUGAAUAAAGGUAGGCUAAGUCCGCGCCAGUAGCCGCGCUAAUAUGGAGGAUCCGUGCGGUAUCCGGUUUUGUUGGGUCUAAAGGGAGCGUAGAUGGGUUGUUAAGUCAGUUGUGAAAGUUUGCGGCUCAACCGUACGAUUGCAAUUGAUACUGGCAGUCUUGAGUACAGUAGAGGUAGGCGGAAUUCGUGGUGUAGCGGUGAAAUGCGUAGAUAUCAGGAAGAACUCCGAUUGCGAAGGCGGCUUACUAAACUGCAACUGACAUUGAUGCUCGAAAGUGUGGGUAGCAAACAGGAUUAGAUACCCUAGUAGUC